AGUGAACGCUGGCGGUAGGCCUAACACAUGCAAGUCGAACGGCAGCACAGUAAGAGCUUGCUCUUACGGGUGGCGAGUGGCGGACGGGUGAGGAAUACAUCGGAAUCUACUUUUUCGUGGGGGAUACCGUAGGGAAACUUACGCUAAUACCGCAUACGACCUACGGGUGAAAGCAGGGGAUCUUCGGACCUUGCGCGAUUGAAUGAGCCGAUGUCGGAUUAGCUAGUUGGCGGGGUAAAGGCCCACCAAGGCGACGAUCCGUAGCUGGUCUGAGAGGAUGAUCAGCCACACUGGAACUGAGACACGGUCCAGACUCCUACGGGAGGCAGCAGUGGGGAAUAUUGGACAAUGGGCGCAAGCCUGAUCCAGCCAUACCGCGUGGGUGAAGAAGGCCUUCGGGUUGUAAAGCCCUUUUGUUGGGAAAGAAAAGCAGCAGGUUAAUACCCCGCUGUUCUGACGGUACCCAAAGAAUAAGCACCGGCUAACCUCGUG
rnacentral:rRNA from 1 species